AACAGGGAUUGCCCUAGUAACGGCGAGUGAAGCGGCAACAGCUCAAAUUUGAAAUCUGGCCCUCGGGUCCGAGUUGUAAUUUGUAGAGGAUGCUUUUGGUGCGGUACCUUCCGAGUUCCCUGGAACGGGACGCCAUAGAGGGUGAGAGCCCCGUCUGGUUGGAUGCCAAUCCUCUGUAAAGCUCCUUCGACGAGUCGAGUAGUUUGGGAAUGCUGCUCUAAAUGGGAGGUAUAUGUCUUCUAAAGCUAAAUAUUGGCCAGAGACCGAUAGCGCACAAGUAGAGUGAUCGAAAGAUGAAAAGCACUUUGAAAAGAGAGUUAAAAAGCACGUGAAAUUGUUGAAAGGGAAGCGCUUAUGACCAGACUUGGGCUUGGUUGAUCAUCCGGCGUUCUCGCCGGUGCACUCUUCCGGCUCAGGCCAGCAUCAGUUUGCUUCGGGGGAUAAAGGCUUUGGGAAUGUGGCUCCCUCGGGAGUGUUAUAGCCCACUGUGUAAUACCCUGGAGCGGACUGAGGUACGCGUUCUGCAAGGAUGCUGGCGUAAUGGUCAUCAGUGACCCGUCUUGAAACACGGACCAAGGAGUCGUCUUCGUAUGCGAGUGUUCGGGUGUCAAACCCCUACGCGUAAUGAAAGUGAACGCAGGUGAGAGCUUCGGCGCAUCAUCGACCGAUCCUGAUGUUCUCGGAUGGAUUUGAGUAAGAGCAUACGGGGCCGGACCCGAAAGAAGGUGAACUAUGCCUGUGUAGGGUGAAGCCAGAGGAAACUCUGGUGGAGGCUCGCAGCGGUUCUGACGUGCAAAUCGAUCGUCAAACAUGGGCAUGGGGGCGAAAGACUAAUCGAACCUUC
rnacentral:rRNA from 1 species